rnacentral:rRNA from 1 species
UUGGUUAAGUUAGAAAGGGCGCACGGUGGAUGCCUUGGCACUAGGAGCCGAAGAAGGACGGGACUAACACCGAUAUGCUUUGGGGAGCUGUACGUAAGCGUUGAUCCAGAGAUUUCCGAAUGGGGGAACCCACUAUCUUUAGUCGGAUAGUAUCCUUACGUGAAUACAUAGCGUGAGGAAGGCAGACCCAGGGAACUGAAACAUCUAAGUACCUGGAGGAAGAGAAAGAAAAAUCGAUUUCCUGAGUAGCGGCGAGCGAAACGGAAAGAGCCCAAACCAAGAAGCUUGCUUCUUGGGGUUGUAGGACACUCUAUACGGAGUUACAAAAGAAAGUUAUAAAUGAAGCGGUCUGGAAAGGCCCGCCAAAGACGGUAACAGCCCGGUAGUUGAAAUGGCUUUCCCUCCAGAGUGGAUCCUGAGUACGGCGGAACACGUGAAAUUCCGUCGGAAUCCGGGAGGACCAUCUCCCAAGGCUAAAUACUCCCUAGUGACCGAUAGUGAACCAGUACCGUGAGGGAAAGGUGAAAAGCACCCCGGAAGGGGAGUGAAACAGUUCCUGAAACCGUGUGCCUACAAGUAGUUAGAGCCCGUUAAUGGGUGAUAGCGUGCCUUUUGUAGAAUGAACCGGCGAGUUACGAUUUGUUGCAAGGUUAAGCGGAAAAAGCGGAGCCGUAGCGAAAGCGAGUCUGAAUAGGGCGCAUAAGUAACAGGUCGUAGACCCGAAACCAGGUGAUCUACCCAUGUCCAGGAUGAAGGUAAGGUAAUACUUACUGGAGGUCCGAACCCACGCACGUUGAAAAGUGCGGGGAUGAGGUGUGGGUAGCGGAGAAAUUCCAAUCGAACUUGGAGAUAGCUGGUUCUCUCCGAAAUAGCUUUAGGGCUAGCCUCGAGGUAAAGAGUCAUGGAGGUAGAGCACUGUUUGGACUAGGGGCCCUUCUCGGGUUACCGAAUUCAGAUAAACUCCGAAUGCCAUGUACUUAUACUCGGGAGUCAGACUGCGAGUGAUAAGAUCCGUAGUCGAAAGGGAAACAGCCCAGACCACCAGUUAAGGUCCCCAAAUAUAUGUUAAGUGGAAAAGGAUGUGGGGUUGCUUAGACAACCAGGAUGUUGGCUUAGAAGCAGCCACCAUUGAAAGAGUGCGUAAUAGCUCACUGGUCGAGUGACCCCGCGCCGAAAAUGUACCGGGGCUAAACAUAUUACCGAAACUGUGGAUGAACCUCUUUAGAGGUUCGUGGUAGGAGAGCGUUCUAAGGGCGGUGAAGUCAGACCGGAAGGACUGGUGGAGCGCUUAGAAGUGAGAAUGCCGGUAUGAGUAGCGAAAGAAGGGUGAGAAUCCCUUCCACCGAAUAUCUAAGGUUUCCUGAGGAAGGCUCGUCCGCUCAGGGUUAGUCGGGACCUAAGCCGAGGCCGAUAGGCGUAGGCGAUG